ACGUGGGGGGCAAGCGUUAUCCGGAAUUAUUGGGCGUAAAGAGUGCGUAGGUGGUUUUUUAAGCGUGAGGUGAAAGGCAAUAGCUUAACUAUUGUACGCCUUGCGAACUGGAAGACUUGAGUGCAGGAGAGGAAGAUGGAAUUUCUGGUGUAGCGGUGAAAUGCGUAGAUAUUAGGAGGAACACCAAUUGCGAAGGCGACUUUCUGGACUGUAACUGACACUGAUGCACGAAAGCGUGGGGAGCAAACAG
rnacentral:rRNA from 1 species